UACGGGGGGAGCAAGCGUUGUUCGGAUUUACUGGGCGUAAAGGGCGCGUAGGCGGCGUGACAAGUCACUUGUGAAAUCUCUGAGCUUAACUUAGAACGGCCAAGUGAAACUGUUGUGCUAGAGUGCAGAAGGGGCAAUCGGAAUUCUUGGUGUAGCGGUGAAAUGCGUAGAUAUCAAGAGGAACACCUGAGGUGAAGACGGGUUGCUGGGCUGACACUGACGCUGAGGCGCGAAAGCCAGGGGAGCAAACGGG
rnacentral:rRNA from 1 species